UACGUAGGGUGCAAGCGUUAAUCGGAAUUACUGGGCGUAAAGCGUGCGCAGGCGGUUUUGUAAGACAGUGGUGAAAUCCCCGGGCUCAACCUGGGAACUGCCAUUGUGACUGCAAGGCUAGAGUACGGCAGAGGGGGAUGGAAUUCCGCGUGUAGCAGUGAAAUGCGUAGAUAUGCGGAGGAACACCGAUGGCGAAGGCAAUCCCCUGAGCCUGCACUGACGCUCAUGCACGAAAGCGUGGGGAGCAAACAGG
rnacentral:rRNA from 1 species